rnacentral:rRNA from 1 species
GGUGGCUCGAGUGGCGAACGGGUGAGUAACACGUGAGUAACCUGCCCUUGACUUUGGGAUAACUUCAGGAAACUGGGGCUAAUACCGGAUAGGAGCUCCUGCUGCAUGGUGGGGGUUGGAAAGUUUCGGCGGUUGGGGAUGGACUCGCGGCUUAUCAGCUUGUUGGUGGGGUAGUGGCUUACCAAGGCUUUGACGGGUAGCCGGCCUGAGAGGGUGACCGGCCACAUUGGGACUGAGAUACGGCCCAG